GGACGAGGAGGAGGUGGUCCCCUUGGACUUGGCGGACAUACUGCGGGGCCGAGGCCGGGGCGGCGGCGGGCGAGGCAGGACGAUGUGUUUCGGUCCAAGACCGAGUCCCAGCUGCUUCCGCCCACCCUGGGCCUUUCUCCCAGUUUGGGGACCCGUACAGAUCUGGGGGCCGGGGAGCAUCAUCUUAUGUCCUAUGUUCGGAUGACAUGAUGCCGCCGCGCUCCCACUCCGGGUCCGAGUCCCCUCCCUUCCCCCAAGGGGACGUGGACGUGCCCCCGGGCCCCGGGGCUGCGGAGCAGG